GACGAACGCUGGCGGCGUGCUUAACACAUGCAAGUCGAGCGGUAAGGCCCUUUCGGGGGUACACGAGCGGCGAACGGGUGAGUAACACGUGGGUGACCUGCCUUCAGCUCUGGGAUAAGCCUGGGAAACUGGGUCUAAUACCGGAUACGACUCCGCGGUGCAUGCUGUGGGGUGGAAAGCCUUGUGCGGCUGGAGAUGGGCCCGCGGCCUAUCAGCUUGUUGGUGGGGUGAUGGCCACCAAGGCGACGACGGGUAGCCGGCCUGAGAGGGCGACCGGCCACACUGGGACUGAGAUACGGCCCAGACUCCUACGGGAGGCAGCAGUGGGGAAUCUUGCGCAAUGGGCGAAAGCCUGACGCAGCGACGCCGCGUGAGGGA
rnacentral:rRNA from 1 species